rnacentral:rRNA from 1 species
GAUAAACGCUGGCGGCGUGCUUAACACAUGCAAGUCGAACGAAGUUUUUCCUUCGGGAGACACUUAGUGGCGGACGGGUGAGUAACGCGUGGGUAACCUGCCCUGUACAGGGGGACAACAGCUGUAAACGGCUGCUAAUACCGCAUAAGCCCUUAGCACUGCAUGGUGCAUAGGGAAAAGGAGCAAUCCGGUACAGGAUGGACCCGCGUCUGAUUAGCCAGUUGGCAGGGUAACGGCCUACCAAAGCGACGAUCAGUAGCCGAUCUGAGAGGAUGUACGGCCACAUUGGGACUGAGACACGGCCCAGACUCCUACGGGAGGCAGCAGUGGGGAAUAUUGCACAAUGGAGGAAACUCUGAUGCAGCGACGCCGCGUGAGUGAAGAAGUAUUUCGGUAUGUAAAGCUCUAUAAGCAGGGAAGAAAAUGACGGUACCUGACUAAGAAGCACCGGCUAAAUACGUG